AGCAGCCGCGGUAAUUCCAGCUCCAAUAGCGUAUAUUAAAGUUGUUGCAGUUAAAAAGCUCGUAGUUGAAUUUCGGGAUCAGUUCGUUGGUCGUGCCUUUGGUAUGUACUGGUGUUACUGGUUCCUCCCUUCUGACGAACCGUCAUGUCAUUAAUUUGGUGUGGCGGGAAAUCAGGACUGUUACUUUGAAAAAAUUAGAGUGUUUAAAGCAGGCUCGCGCUUGAAUACAUUAGCAUGGAAUAAUGAAAUAGGACGUUCGAUCCUAUUUUGUUGGUUUCUAGGAUUGACGUAAUGAUUAAUAGGGAUAGUUGGGGGCAUUAGUAUUCAAUUGUCAGAGGUGAAAUUCUUGGAUUUAUUGAAGACUAACUACUGCGAAAGCAUUUGCCAAGGAUGUUUUCAUUAAUCAAGAACGAAAGUUAGGGGAUCGAAGACGAUCAGAUACCGUCGUAGUCUUAACCAUAAACUAUGCCGACUAGGGAUCGGAUGAUGUUAAUUUUUUAAUGACUCA
rnacentral:rRNA from 1 species